rnacentral:tRNA from 1 species
GGUGAACCCGAAGUGGUGGAGGGGCUGGUCUAUGACACCAGUGUUAGCGAGUUCGACUCUCGUCAGUCACCC